UACGUAGGGGGCAAGCGUUGUCCGGAAUCAUUGGGCGUAAAGAGCGCGUAGGCGGUCCGGUAAGUCGGUUGUGAAAACUGGGGGCUCAACCCUCAGAGGCCGACCGAUACUGUCGGGCUAGAGUCCGGAAGAGGCGAGUGGAAUUCCUGGUGUAGCGGUGUAAUGCGCAGAUAUCAGGAGGAACACCAAUGGCGAAGGCAGCUCGCUGGGACGGUACUGACGCUGAGGCGCGAAAGCGUGGGGAGCAAACAGG
rnacentral:rRNA from 1 species